CCAAUUCCCACACAGCCUCCCUA
rnacentral:siRNA from 1 species